rnacentral:rRNA from 1 species
UACGGGGGGGGCAAUCGUUGUUCGGAAUUACUGGGCGUACAGGGCUCGUAGGCGGCCAACUAAGUCAGACGUGAAAUCCCCAGGCUCAACCUGGGAACUGCGUCUGAUACUGGAUGGCUUGAAUCCGGGAGAGGGAUGCAGAAUUCCAGGUGUAGCGGUGAAAUGCGUAGAUAUCUGGAGGAAUACCGGUGGCGAAGGCGGCAUCCUGGACCGGCAUUGACGCUGAGGAGCGAAAGCCAGGGGAGCAAACGGG